GCGUAGCAUAAUGGCUAAGGAGUUGGUCUUGUAACCUAAAGGUCGCAGGUUCGAUUCCCUGCUAGGCC
rnacentral:tRNA from 1 species